GGAUGUGGCUUAGUAGUUGAGCACUUGCCCAGCAUGCUUGAGGUCCUGGGUUCAAUCCCUAGUACCA
rnacentral:tRNA from 1 species